rnacentral:rRNA from 1 species
CAGUAGCCGCGGUAAUACGAAGGGGGCUAGCGUUGCUCGGAAUGACUGGGCGUAAAGGGCGCGUAGGCGGCGAUCAAAGUCAGGCGUGAAAUUCCUGGGCUCAACCUGGGGGCUGCGUUUGAUACUUGGUUGCUUGAGUGGGGAAGAGGGUCGUGGAAUUCCCAGUGUAGAGGUGAAAUUCGUAGAUAUUGGGAAGAACACCGGUGGCGAAGGCGGCGACCUGGUCCUUGACUGACGCUGAGGCGCGAAAGCGUGGGGAGCAAACAGGAUUAGAUACCCCAGUAGUCCCUGUCUCUUAUAA